UACGUAGGGUGCGAGCGUUGCCCGGAUUUAUUGGGCGUAAAGGGCGCGCAGGCGGCUACGCACGUCCGUUGUGAAAUCGCUCGGCUCAACUGGGCGGGGUCGGCGGAUACGGCGUAGCUGGAGCAAGCUAGGGGGCAAUGGAAUUCCCGGUGUAGCGGUGAGAUGCGUAGAGAUCAGGAGGAACACCCAUGGCGAAGGCAGCUCUCUGGUCGACCUCUGACGCUGAGACGCGAAAGCGUGGGGAGCAAACAGG
rnacentral:rRNA from 1 species